AUUAAUUCGACUUAAUCCCUUAUUGAAACACAAAAAACCGCUUUGACGAAACAAUCUAAAGGUGCAAAAAUGGUUCGCACCGCUGAACCGAACCGAGCAAAAUUUUCAUCC